UACGUAGGGUGCGAGCGUUAAUCGGAAUUACUGGGCGUAAAGCGUGCGCAGGCGGCUUUGCAAGACAGAUGUGAAAUCCCCGGGCUUAACCUGGGAACUGCAUUUGUGACUGCAUGGCUGGAGUGCGGCAGAGGGGGAUGGAAUUCCGCGUGUAGCAGUGAAAUGCGUAGAUAUGCGGAGGAACACCGAUGGCGAAGGCAGCCUCCUGGGCCAACACUGACGCUCAUGCACGAAAGCGUGGGGAGCAAACAGG
rnacentral:rRNA from 1 species